UAGGGAAUCUUCCGCAAUGGACGCAAGUCUGACGGAGCAACGCCGCGUGAGUGAAGAGGGAUUUCGGUUCGUAAAACUCUGUUGUUAGAGAAGAACAGCGCAUAGAGUAACUGUUAUGCGUGUGACGGUAUCUAACCAGAAAGCCACGGCUAACUACGUGCCAGCAGCCGCGGUAAUACGUAGGUGGCAAGCGUUGUCCGGAUUUAUUGGGCGUAAAGCGAGCGCAGGCGGUCAAUUAAGUCUGAUGUGAAAGCCCCCGGCUCCACCGGGGAGGGUCAUUGGAAACUGGUUGGCUUGAGUGCAGAAGAGGAGAGUGGAAUUCCAUGUGUAGCGGUGAAAUGCGUAGAUAUAUGGAGGAACACCAGUGGCGAAGGCGACUCUCUGGUCUGUAACUGACGCUGAGGCUCGAAAGCGUGGGUAGCAAACAGG
rnacentral:rRNA from 1 species